GCUUGCUUCGGCAGUGCAUAUACUAAAGUUGGAACAAUGCAGAGAAGAUUAGCAUGGCCCCUGUGCAAGGAUGACAUGCAAAUUCAUAAAGCGUUCCAUGUUUUU